rnacentral:rRNA from 1 species
CGAGUCAUUGUAGCAAUACAAGGCAUACGGCUCAGUAACGCGUAGUCCCUUAACCUAUGGACGGGAAUAACCUCGGGAAACUGAGAACCCUGCCCGAUAGAACAUUAUGCCUGGAAUGGUUUAUGUUCCAAAUGAUUUAUCGCCGUAGGAUGGGACUGCGGCCUAUCAGUUUGUUGGUGAGGUAAUGGCCCACCAAGACUAUUACAGGUACGGGCUCUGAGAGGAGUAGCCCGGAGAUGGGUACUGAGACACGGACCCAGGCCCUAUGGGGCGCAGCAGGCGAGAAAACUUUGCAAUGUGCGAAAGCACGACAAGGUUAAUCCGAGUGGUUUCUGCUAAAGAAACCUUUUGUCAGUCCUAGAAACACUGAUGAAUAAGGGGUGGGCAAGUUCUGGUGUCAGCCGCCGCGGUAAAACCAGCACCUCAAG